rnacentral:rRNA from 1 species
GAUUAACGCUGGCGGCGUGCCUAACACAUGCAAGUCGAGCGGCAGCGCGUUUUACACUUACUUCUGGAAGCUUCUAGUUGAAAGAGAAGAUUUAUUCUAGAAUUUUGUGUAAAUUGUCGGCUAGCGUCGGACGGCUGAGUAACGCGUGGGAACGUACCCCCAUGUGUGGGAUUACGCAUCGAAUGGUGUUCUUAUUCCUCAUUUGUUCUUCUUUUUAAAUCCUUCGGGCGCUUUUGGAACGGCCUGCGUAAGAUUAGAUAGUUGGUUGGGUAAUGGCCUACGAAGGCGACGAUCAUUAAAUGGUAAGAGAGGAAGAGCAGUCAGACUGGAAAUGAGACACGGUACAGAAUACUACGGGAGGCAGCAGUGAGGAAUAUAACAAAAUGGGCGAAAGGCUGAUGGAGCAACGACGCGUGAAGGAUGAAGGCCUUAGGGUAGUAAAGUGCUUUUAUAAGUGAGGAUUAUGACAGUAACUAAUGAAUAAGGAUCGGCUAACUACGUG